AGGGUUUUCAAGGAAAAACUGGUCCUCCAGGCCCAGGUGGUGUUGUUGGACCCCAGGGUCCUACUGGUGAGACUGGCCCAAUUGGUGAAAGAGGUCACCCAGGUCCUCCAGGCCCACCGGGUGAGCAAGGCCUUCCAGGUGCUGCAGGGAAGGAAGGCGCUAAGGGUGAUCCAGGUCCUCAAGGCAUCUCUGGAAAAGAUGGGCCAGCAGGUCUUCGUGGUUUUCCAGGAGAAAGAGGCCUUCCAGGAGCUCAG
rnacentral:lncRNA from 1 species